rnacentral:rRNA from 1 species
UCAUGGACGAAGUCUGAUGGAGCACGCCGCGUGAACGAUGAAGGUCUUCGGAUUGUAAAGUUCUGUUGUCAGGGACGAACACGUACCGUUCGAAUAGGGCGGUACCUUGACGGUACCUGACGAGAAAGCCACGGCUAAAUACGUGCCAGCAGCCGCGGUAAUACA